GCGGUGGUAGCUCAGUCAGGUAAGCGCCCGCUUCUCACGCAAGAGAUGCGGGUUCGAAUCCCGCAUCACCUUGAGUAGCU
rnacentral:tRNA from 1 species